GAGGCGGUAUCGAUUGCUCGAACUGCACUCUUGCAAUAUCAGUCUAAUUUUAUGGACGUAGUAAUUUGCAUUGAAACUGAUUGCAGUUACGUUGGAUUCUGCUCUGAGCCGAGAGGACCGAGACAGAAGG
rfam:Paenibacillus pini JCM 16418 DNA, contig: contig00009.